UUUGGUGACGAUAGCGGAAGGGAACCACGCGUACCCAUCCCGAACACGGCCGUUAAAGCCUUCCAGCGCCGAUGGUACUUGGACCGAAGGGUCCUGGGGAGAGUAGGACGUUGCCAAGC
rnacentral:rRNA from 1 species